UGGGGAAUAUUGCACAAUGGGCGCAAGCCUGAUGCAGCGACGCCGCGUGCGGGAUGACGGCCUUCGGGUUGUAAACCGCUUUCAGCAGGGAAGAAGCGCAAGUGACGGUACCUGCAGAAGAAGCGCCGGCUAACUACGUG
rnacentral:rRNA from 1 species